rnacentral:miRNA from 1 species
UGUUGUUCUUUUUUUUUGGU